rnacentral:rRNA from 1 species
GCAGUCGAGCGGACGAAGGGAGCUUGCUCCCGGAUGUUAGCGGCGGACGGGCGAGUAACACGUGGGUAACCUGCCUGUAAGACUGGGAUAACUCCGGGAAACCGGAGCUAAUACCGGAUAGUUCCUUGAACCGCAUGGUUCAAGGAUGAAAGACGGUUUCGGCUGUCACUUACAGAUGGACCCGCGGCGCAUUAGCUAGUUGGUGGGGUAAUGGCUCACCAAGGCGACGAUGCGUAGCCGACCUGAGAGGGUGAUCGGCCACACUGGGACUGAGACACGGCCCAGACUCCUACGGGAGGCAGCAGUAGGGAAUCUUCCGCAAUGGACGAAAGUCUGACGGAGCAACGCCGCGUGAGUGAUGAAGGUUUUCGGAUCGUAAAGCUCUGUUGUUAGGGAAGAACAAGUGCGAGAGUAACUGCUCGCACCUUGACGGUACCUAACCAGAAAGCCACGGCUAACUACGUGCCAGCAGCCGCGGUAAUACGUAGGUGGCAAGCGUUGUCCGGAAUUAUUGGGCGUAAAGGGCUCGCAGGCGGUUUCUUAAGUCUGAUGUGAAAGCCCCCGGCUCAACCGGGGAGGGUCAUUGGAAACUGGGAAACUUGAGUGCAGAAGAGGAGAGUGGAAUUCCACGUGUAGCGGUGAAAUGCGUAGAGAUGUGGAGGAACACCAGUGGCGAAGGCGACUCUCUGGUCUGUAACUGACGCUGAGGAGCGAAAACGUGGGGAGCGAACAGGAUUAGAUACCCCUGGUAGUCCCACGCCCGUAAACGAUUAAGUGCU